AUCAAUGUGUGUAGGCCCAGCGAUCCGUCAGUCCAAACAGUCUAUGUCAAAAAUGAUCUUACAUUUUGGGACGGAGGGAGUACUUGUGUUCUUAUCUACCCUGUAAAAUGUACCUUAGUGCGGUUGAUGUAAAUUUUAGUGUUUCUGACUCUGCAAACUUGGACCUUUGUAAAAUAUGUUUGUGAGGGGGUUCUGGUAAUAAUGCUCAUCUUUGUGUUGAAUAGUGCCUAUUGAAUGAAAUGAGUACUUUGGGAUGCAAAUGAUACCAUGGCCAGCAGCCAGGGCGAUUCCUUUG
rnacentral:lncRNA from 1 species